GAGAGCAGAGAAUCCAAACCCGGAUUCGUUUUCACAGAUUAAACCGGAUUUGAUAAACCAAGUGAUACGUCCGGAACUUUGGUAGUAGUAAUUCGAGGAUAGCUUCAUUCAUGCCGGUUCUCGGUCAAGCAAAAGCGCCACCAUACCAAUUCCGAAGAAGAGAGAGAAAGUCUGCUGACGCCGUCGAGUUUCUCUCUCUAAAACCCGCACAUAUUCAUCUAAUCCUUAUCAAUUAUUAAUUGGAUAUUUCAACUGCUACGGAGUAACUUCUUGCAGUUGUGUGUAUCUACGGAAGGGUAUAAAGAUGGAUUUGGUUGCUAGUUGCAAGGAUAAAUUGGCAUAUUUUCGGAUAAAGGAGCUCAAAGAUGUUCUGACUCAACUUGGUCUUUCAAAGCAAGGGAAGAAGCAGGACCUUGUUGAUCGCAUAUUAGCUACACUUUCUGAUGAAAGAGUUUCAGGAAUGUGGCCAAAGAAAAACAGUGUUGGGAAGGAAGAUGUUGCAAAACUUGUUGAUGACAUUUACAGAAAAAUGCAGGUGGGUGGGGCCACUGAGCUAGCAUCGAAGUCACAAGUCGUCUCGGAUAGUAGUAAUGUGAAGUUAAAAGAGGAAAUUGAAGACUCUUCUUACCAUAUGAAAAUUCGCUGUGUGUGCGCAAGCUCGUUACAAACUGAAACAAUGAUUCAGUGUGAAGACAGAAGGUGUCACACUUGGCAACAUGUGCGUUGUGUUAUCAUACCAGAUAAGCCGAUGGAGGGUGGUGAUCCACCAAUUCCGCCUACAACUUUUUACUGUGAAUUGUGCAGACUGGGUCGUGCUGACCCCUUCUGGGUGACAAUGGGACACCCUUUAUACCCUGCAAAGUUGUCUAUUACAAGCGUUCCUGCCGAUGGCACGAACCCUGUGCAGAGUAUUGAGAAAACAUUUCAGAUCACUAGAGCAGACAGAGACUUGUUGGCAAAACAGGAAUAUGAUCUCCAGGCUUGGUGCAUGCUUCUCAACGACAAGGUACAAUUUAGGAUGCAGUGGCCUCAAUAUGCAGAUUUGCAGGUGAAUGGGGUUCCUGUGCGCGCGAUAAAUAGACCUGGCUCUCAAUUGUUGGGUGCUAAUGGUCGAGAUGACGGCCCUAUAAUCACACCAUGCACCAGAGAUGGAAUCAACAAAAUCACAUUAACAGGAUGCGAUGCUCGUGUCUUUUGCUUGGGGGUUAGACUUGUGAAGCGGCGUACUGUUCAACAGGUUCUUAGUUUGAUCCCAAAGGAGUCAGAUGGUGAGCAGUUUGAAGAUGCUCUUACUCGCGUUCGUCGUUGUGUUGGUGGUGGGACGGCCACUGAAAAUGCCGAUAGUGAUAGUGAUCUGGAAGUGGUUGCUGAUUGUAUUCCUGUCAAUCUUCGCUGCCCUAUGAGCGGUUCAAGGAUGAAAGUUGCUGGAAGAUUCAAACCUUGUAUACACAUGGGCUGCUUUGAUCUUGAAGUCUUUGUUGAAAUGAAUCAAAGGUCAAGGAAGUGGCAAUGCCCCAUCUGUCUCAAGAACUACGCUUUGGAGCAUGUCAUCAUAGAUCCAUAUUUCAAUCGAAUCACUUCUCGGCUGCGAAGUUGUGGAGAAGAUGUUGCAGAAAUUGAAGUGAAACCUGAUGGUUCUUGGCGUGCAAAGAUAGAAGGUGAUCGACAGAGUCUUGGGGAUCUUGGGCGCUGGCACUUACCUGAUGGGAGCCUGAGCGAAUCUCUAGAUAUAGAGUCGAAACCUAAGCCCGAAAUUCUUAAGCAGAUUAAACAGGAAGGAGGCUCUGAUGGCAAUGGUCUUAAAGUUGGAUUGAGGAAGAACAGAAAUGGUUUGUGGGAAAUCAGCAAACCGGAAGACCAGACAUUUUCAUCCGGAAGUAGAUUGAGAGACAAUUUUGGUCAGGAUAUCAUUCCAAUGAGCAGCGGUGCCACCGGUAGUGGCAAAGAAGGUGAAGAUGCCAGCGUUAAUCAAGAUGGCAAUGGGAACCUUGACUUCUCGAACAAUGCGUUUGAUCUUGAGGCCAUUUCUCUUAUUGACCCAACAUAUGGUUUUGGUAACGAAAAUCCGUCGGUACCAGCAGGGGAUGCUGAAGUUAUAGUACUAAGUGAUUCUGAAGAAGAAAAUGAGCCAAUUAUCUCAUCUGGGCCUAUCUUUAAUAACAACCAUAGUGAUGCACCUGUAGUUCCUUUUCCAUGUCAGUCACAAGGAAUUCCGGAUUCUUUUCAUGACUCUACGCUGGUUAACGGUGGGAAUUCAUGUCUCGGGCUGUUCAAUUCUAAUGAUGAUGAAUUUGGGAUGAACAUGUGGUCUUUGCCUUCUGGAACCCAAGGGGGGCCUGGUUUUCAGUUAUUUAGUUCUGAUGCUGAUGUUUCAGGAUCUUUAGUAGAUGAGCAGCAUGGUUCUAUUAACUGUCCCAGUUCUCUCAGUGGCUACGGGUUGGCUGCAGAUACCGGCAUUGGAUCUACUUCUCUUCUUCCUGGAACAUAUGCAAAUCGCCCCAAUGCUAAUAUAAAUGACAGUUUAGUUGAUAAUUCCCUAGCAUUUAGUGGUAAUGAUCCCUCACUUCAGAUAUUUCUUCCUACUAGACCAUCUGAUACGUCAGUUGAGGCUACGAGGGAUCAGCCUGAUGUUUCAAAUGGCGUUGGUACUGAGGAUUGGAUAUCACUUCGACUUGGUGGUGAUGGAGNAAAAAAUAUAACGGGUAAAUUGACCAGAAUUAACUGGUAAGCCGCUAGUCUUGUUUGGAUUUACAACAGCGCUAGUUGGGAAGCUCCAGUAUGAGCACAAUUCACAGACCUUAGAGUAGUGCCAUGUAGCUCUUUUACAGAUAUUUUCUUUUCGGUGUAGUAUGUCUACCUAUCCUGGUAGAUGAUAUUCUUACAAAAGAUAAAAUGUGUUGUCAGAAGUUCUUUUUUGAUUCAUGUAUUGGAGCUUUUCUAAAUGUAGGUAGUGAUGCUACUGUUUGUGCAGCUUCAUUGCUUCUUGGUAUGAAUGACAGCAGACCAACUAAGAGCAGUAGAGAACGAUCUGAUAGUCCUUUUACAUUUCCUCGUCAACGUCGUUCUGUAAGACCAAGAUUGUAUCUAAGUAUUGAUUCGGAUUCUGAAUAGGAGCAGAUUCCAUGGUGGCAGAACAAUGAUUACUUUUACUCAGCAAAGUAUGUGGAUGUGACAAGAUGAGCUCUUGCUAGUGCGCACACAUCGAUCAACAGGAAACCGCUCUCUUACAUCACUGCUGGCACCUAGGAGUUCUCUUAUUUGUAGGACCGGAACACAUUCUUUUCUCUUCCAUUUCCUUGAUGAUUCCCUGGAGGGUGAUCGCUGGUGAAUUGUACAUUUGGACAGCUUAGCUCAGUACAAAAAGUUCUAGUAACAUCCACUGGUAAAUCAAAUUUGGAUAGAGGGGAGGCAUUUUAGUGAUUCAAAAUCUCCUUUUGCCUUGUGGGAGGCCAAUAGCCUGUAAAUCUGUUUAACUAAUUUAUAGAAAGUAUAAUGUAUGUGAAUGUGUUAAUCGUUCUAGCUCAAUGGACGCUGGAUAGUACCAGAUUGUGCCAUGAGUGCACAAAGUGAAAAUGAGGUUCAAUCUCGUGAUAUUUUUGGUGCGAGGAAAGGUAGGAGGGACCGACUGACACUGAGGGUUUUUUCUAUCCAAUUUAUUUGGAAUGAGAAAGGAAUGCAGAACCCAUGAUAGAGUUGUAUGAUUAUGUGAUAUGAAGGUGGAGAACUGUGCCUAACCCUUAUGUGAAAAUGAGAACCUGCCCCUUGUUUCUUGUUUG